GGAGGGAAAAAGGUGGAAACAACAUGGCUGGGCCAGAGACCACCUCUCCAGGCUGGCUGUCCUUGGAGGUGGAGUGAGCUGUAUGCAGGCUCCCGGGCCUUGCUGACAUUAGGACAUCUCUAGGUUUUCUAGUCACUCCUGGGAUUUAGCUGUGGUAGUUUGGCUCCCCCCGCUGCACACACAUGCUGUUUUUUACUGCAGGUACCAAUCCUGGAGCAAGAUCCCCCAGAGUGUACAGCCUUCACUCCUCCAGGGAUGGGGGCCCCCUGGACACCUCCAAAGAUCCAUCAUCCUGUGGGAGCAGCCACUGGUGGAACAGCGGUGCUGAGGGGUCGACCUGGAGCCCAGGCAAAGUGGCCAAGCCCUGUUGGGAACGUUCAAGGCUGGAAGCCAGCCUAACUAACAAGUGUGCAGGCAGGGAGCCAGCAUCGCUGUAUUGGUCCUUGCAGAGGAACUGGAAAGGAGUGCAAGAGCUGGAGUCCUGUGCAAAGAAGACUCAGAGCAAAGGAGACAGAGCCCGGUAUGCUGGGGCCUUCAGAGACUGAUCCUGCACUAAGGCUGAAGUGUCAGCCCCAGGAAUUGGGCUCAGUCAUGCCCACAGAUGUCUGCCAGUGCCCUGGGAGUAGAAGAUGGUAUUGAGACCACGAAAGGGUCCUGGACGUGGGGGUGCCGGAUGGGCUCUGGGACAUCUCCACAGAGUCCCUGUUUGCAGAGCCAGAGGAGUGCUGCAGAUAGAUAGAAAACGCCAGGUGCCCUUUGGGUGACACUGUCCCUGCUGUAAGACUGGCCCAGCACUCCUGGAGCACACGCAUGACUGAUAGGCACCACACAGGCAAGCGUGGGACUCAGGAUGGUACAGCCCAUAGAAGAGGGGUUUACUCUGGGGUGCUCCCCAGGAGUUUAGGAAGCCUGAGUGCACCAUGGCCAGAACCACCACACUGUGGGGUUGCCAUAGCCCUCCAGUGACCCCAUAAGUGCUGAGCAAACCUACUCAGCAAAGGAGAAGUGACACUGCAGGCUCACACUGUAAGCAUCUUGGCGCUGCGGAAUUUUGUACUGGAUUAGCUGUUGAAUAUGCACAGUUAUCUUUUGAAUAUGCGUACUGAUAUCUGUUGGCCAUACUGCUGAGUGUUCUGUUGACCAUCCUGUUGGCAUCCAUACUGUUAUUGUCUGAGGCCAUCUGUUCUAUUGUCCAACUGUGGUCUGGCAUUGAUCGACUGAAUAAUGAACUAAGCUUGGGAAGAAUAAAAGGAAGUAAGCCACAUACCUCUGUGUGGGC
rnacentral:lncRNA from 1 species